AGCUGGAUAGCACAGUGGAUAGAGCACUGGGCUUAGAAUCAGGAAGAUUCUAGUUCAAAUCUGGCUUCAGAUA
rnacentral:tRNA from 1 species